GUGAACCAUCGAGUCUUUGAACGCAAGUUGCGCCCGAGGCCAUCCGGCUAAGGGCACGCCUGCCUGGGCGUCACGCUUUCGACGCUUCGUCGUUGCCCCCUCGGGGGGUGGGGGCGAACGCGGAGGAUGGCCCCCCGUGUCGGAAAGGUGCGGUUGGCCGAAGAGCGGGCUGUCGGUGGUUGUCGAACACGACGCGUGGUGGAUGCCUUGUGCGAGCCGUACGUCGUGCCUUCGGAACCCGGGCGAGGCCUCGAGGACCCAAGUCGUGGUGCGAGUCGAUGCCACGGACCGCGACCCCAGGUCAGGUGGGGCUACCCGCUGAG
rnacentral:rRNA from 1 species